CCUACGGGCGACAGCAGUGAGGAAUAUUGGUCAAUGGACGCAAGUCUGAACCAGCCAUGCCGCGUGCAGGAAGACGGCUCUAUGAGUUGUAAACUGCUUUUGUACGGGGGUAAACGCAGAUACGCGUAUCUUUCUGAAAGUAUCGUACGAAUAAGGAUCGGCUAACUCCGUGCCAGCAGCCGCGGUAAUACGGAGGAUUCGAGCGUUAUCCGGAUUUAUUGGGUUUAAAGGGUGCGUAGGCGGUUGGAUAAGUUAGAGGUGAAAGCCCGAGGCUCAACUGCGGAAUUGCAUCUGAUACUGUUCGGCUAGAGAGCAGUGGCGGUAGGCGGAAUGUAUGGUGUAGCGGUGAAAUGCUUAGAGAUCAGACAGAACACCGAUUGCGAAGGCAGCUUACCAAGCUACAUCUGACGUUGAGGCACGAAAGCGUGGGGAGCAAACAGGAUUAGAUACCCGAGUAGUC
rnacentral:rRNA from 1 species